GAGGGUACAGCUCAGCAGCAGAGCAUGUGCUUAGCAAGCACAAGGUCCUGGGUUCAAUCCCCAGUGCCUCCA
rnacentral:tRNA from 1 species